AUGGAUACUAAUUUCUUUGCAUCAUUUUGAGUAAGUCCUCAACCUGGGGUUCUGCCCGAAGAAGGAGGGGCUGCAGUAGCCGUCGAAUCUUCUACUUGUACAUGGACAACUGUUUGAACUGAUGGACUUACCAGUCUUGAUCAUUACAAAGGACGAUGCUAUCACAUCGAGCAUGUUGCCGGGGAAGACAACCAAUGGAUCUAUUAUGUAGCUUAUCCAUUAGACCUAUUUGACCAUUGCACGCCUCCAUUACCUUAUGGGAGGCCUACGCUCCAUAGAAACUCUCUACCUAAGUCUGUCCCUUGGCCCCUGGGUCUGACACAAGGUAAGAAUUCAAGCUCUUUCAAAGUGUUUUCCUGUCCCUUGGCGGCCCGGUCCACUGCUAGGCUAGCUACUCCUCGUGGGCUAAGCUAG
rnacentral:rRNA from 1 species